rfam:Wickerhamomyces ciferrii, NRRL Y-1031 F-60-10, WGS project CAIF01000000 data, contig: 00014
GUUACAGUGGCCGAGUGGUUAAGGCGAUGCCCUGCUAUUUCGUGUAGCUGUUAGGCAUUGGGUUUUACCUUCGCAGGUUCGAAUCCUGUCUGUAACG